rnacentral:tRNA from 1 species
GGAGAGUUGUCCGAGUGGCUGAAGGAGCACGAUUGGAAAUCGUGUAUACGCCUAAAGCGUAUCCCGGGUUCAAAUCCCGGACUCUCCGCCA